CCUACGGGUGGCUGCAGUGGGGAAUAUUGCACAAUGGGGGAAACCCUGAUGCAGCGACGCCGCGUGAGUGAAGAAGUAUUUCGGUAUGUAAAGCUCUAUCAGCAGAGAAGAAAAAGACGGUACCUGAUUAAGCAGCCCCGGCUAAAUACGUACCAGCAGCCGCGGUAAUACGUAGGGGGCAAGCGUUAUCCGGAUUUACUGGGGGUAAAGGGAGCGUAGACGGCAGCGCAAGUCUGAAGUGAAAUGCCGGGGCUUAACCCGGGAAGGGCUUUGGAAACUGUGCAGCUAGAGUGCAGGAGAGGUGAGUGGAAUUCCUAGUGUAGCGGUGAAAUGCGUAGAUAUUAGGAGGAACACCAGUGGCGAAGGCGGCUUACUGGACUGUAACUGACGUUGAGGCUCGAAAGCGUGGGGAGCAAACAGGAUUAGAUACCCCUGUAGUC
rnacentral:rRNA from 1 species